rnacentral:rRNA from 1 species
GAUGAACGCUGGCGGCGUGCCUAAUACAUGCAAGUCGAGCGAACAGACGAGGAGCUUGCUCCUCUGACGUUAGCGGCGGACGGGAGAGUAACACGUGGAUAACCUACCUAUAAGACUGGGAUAACUUCGGGAAACCGGAGCUAAUACCGGAUAAUUUAUUGAACCGCAUGGUUCAAUAGUGAAAGACGGUUUUGCUUUCACUUAUAGAUUGAUCCGCGCCGCAUUAACUAGUUGGUAAGGUAAAGGCUUACCAAGGCAACGAUGCGUACCCGACCUGAGAGGGUGAUCGGACACCCUGGAACUGAGAAACGGUACCGACUCCUACAGGAGGAAGCAGUAGGGAAUCUUCCGCGAUGGAGGAAAGCCUGACGGAGCAACGCCGGGGGAGUGAUGAAGGUCUUCGGCUCGUAGAGCUCUGUUAUUAGGGAAGAUGAAAUGUGUAAGUAACUGUGAUCAUAUUGACGGUACCGGGUCAGAAAGCCACGGCUAACUACGUG